CAGUGUGUUGAAGGUGUCAUGUCGGAAGAUGAAUCCGUUCGGCCCGCUUACUCGCUGCGGGGUGGUGCCGCGUACGACACAAAGUUGACAAGCACUGACAGCAUCCGAAAUACCCGGGGUUAAGUUCGAGAACCGGUUCGGCGAAAAAGCAGAAAAAUGGAGGAAUGAGCCACAAUGGUUGUCGAACCGUUUCGAAAAGUGACCAGGGUUGUACGUCGAGGGUUUAAUUUUAGCUACUAGCUCCCGCGUUUAGCGUUCGUUCCCGAUUUUCUCACCGGAGCAGAGCCACUGCCAUGAGCGUGUGGAUGAGAGCGAGCGUGAGUGACCCUUAUUAAUUAUUUUCGGCAUUUCUUAAAAUAUCUAUCCACUGGUGAGCGGUUGAUGGUUGAUAGUGCGCAUGUGCCGAGUGGGACGACAUUAGGCCUCAAAAGUGCGGACACCGGGCGCUCUCUUUUCAACCGAUCGUACACUUUAGUCGACAUAGUGUGGUUAGCUCGAUUGGACGGUUUGCGAACCGGUUCGGUCCAGGCAGGGCAAGGGCUUCAGAAGCCUGGAUCGUACAGUUAAAGUAUACAGGGGGAGGGCGGGAUGAUAGACAAAAACACCGGAAGACAGCGGAAAUUAGAGGCGCGUAGAGUUUAGAAUUAAUUGAGUUCGGGGAGUUUCUAAUCGCGUGGCGUUUCGACUCGUUUCCUGGCGUCGUGCGGUGUGGUUGUGUAGUCCAUCGUGUAAUCCGUGUGUGCCUGUGUAGGAGGUGACGCGCAUGACAUGUUUGUCAACACCGUUGUCCUGCAGAGUGAAGUCUUUUUCUUUAAAUAUUCAAAAAAUUUUGUGUCACCUGGUGUCGGCUUUCGGGACUUCCUGGUUUCCAUCAGUCGGUUCGAAUUAGUGAACAAAGCAAAGGGAAAAUGGAAUAGCGGUUCGGGAUAAUUGGAAGGAAUCAGUACCAUUUAAACGAAAUGAGCGUGUGUUUUUUUUUGUUUGAUUUCUUUUGUUAUACAUGUAUUGCUCUCCAGUUCGGUUUUAUUGCUUACUUACAAAACGUAUAAAAACAUACAUAUAAUUAGUCUCUGAUCGCGCAGUAUAGUGACGAAUUGGGAACGGGGAAGGAAGGACAAAAUCGAUUUGUUAAAGGCGCGAUUAAUAAUCUUAUGUGGAACACAUACACCCUACUCUGCCCGCUGUGUACGAGACUAAGCAUAUUAAAUUGUCCUUGCUCGAGACUACCAACUACCGAACGUCAGCGACAAAGACACCUAUCUGUUGAAAGCGUAACAACAACCAAGUGAUCAGUGAUAUAAGCGGGUAAUAGCGGAAGGAGCUUCCAACUGCAUGCAGCUGUCAGGCGUUGCAGCACGGGCGUUAAUGGCGGCACACAAGAUCCUACAUGUCUGCCACAGGUUGACAAGAUAAGUAUACCUCUUUCAUAAGCAUGUAUUGUUACCAAACAAAUUGCUGCAGCGUUAAUUUAUUGUCACGGCUCGAGUAAACGGUCUCCUUGCAAGAAACCUGAACCGCUUGAAGCACACAAAAUCUAUUACAUUGGGCGCCAGGGCAAAGAGUUUGAAGCCGUGUUGCACGCUUUGACUUUCGUAGAACAUUCGGGGUCAUUCGCCCGGUUAUACGCGGUCAAGAAGUGUAGCACACACACGGUAGCGAUAUCACACAAGCAGGAAAGGGAGCGGGUUAAAGGACGUCAACAUUUUGUAACAAAAACAAAAAAGCAAAAAGGAACAAAAGUCACAACUAUUUUUAGCGAUUUUUUAAAACACAAAAGAAAUUUGGCCUUUUGUAUUGUUGUUUUCUUUGUUGUGUUGAUGUUGUUGUUGAUGUCAUAAACAAGCGCGCGAAGUACGCAUCCCAACUGCAACCAUCUUGAGGACGCUGCAGCAAUUCAGUUUCGGUAGCGGUUGCCUAAAGUUUAUUUCUUACUAACGCUGAGAAUUCCGUUUUGUUUUUUGAACAGGAUACAGGUGAUGGCAAGUUGGCGCCAAUCGGACGAGAGGAGGCCCUGAAGAAUAUUGCAGAUUGCAGAUCGUUAACUACUACCUCCCUAAUCAACGUUUGCUGCCGUCCACAGAGAUCAGAUAUCAGAGCAAGUGCAUACAUUAUCGGGAACGCAAGUCUACAAACAUCAAUCCUGAACAACAGAUAGAACGAUCCGGAUAGGCGUGACAACAAUAGCACACGGCACGUCAUCGUCCAAAAACAAGCCUUAGAAACUCGACCUCAAGUACACGCGUGGGUAGCAUCAUUGACUCAACAAAGGAAAUGACUCAACGGCUGACGAUCGGGAUAUGCUUACUAAGUAACGCGAUGAUUCAGCCCGACUGACCGAUCGAGAUUCCGGAAAAAAUUCUAGAAAUCCUUGAAUAUCCCCAAGUCAUCCCCAAGACCUGCUCAACAGUUUUGUUUUUACAACCGGAGUCGGAACAAAUUGAACAUUACGAUCGACUUCUGGUACUGUGAAGAUCGAACCAAAUGCUACCCUUAUAAAUCUUGAACGAGAUCAAGUACGAUGCCUAUCUUUCGAUACACGCUCCAUACCGUGCAGUGUCCAUGUUGUAUUCGUUUCUUUUCCUUGUUAUGUUCAGUGCCCGAUUCGAACGAUCAUACCUCUCGAGCGGCUUUACUUGUUUGCAUCCCUGCUUGUCAGUACCCUUCGGAAGCGAGGGGUUUUGUGCUAACGAAAUCUAUUUUAGUAAUGAAAUCUUUAUUGCUAAUUAUUCAGCUCGAAGAAGCACUAGACGCCACACAAAGUUUGAAGCAAUUUGAAGAGGGGGGGGUUACAUAAUUGUUUCCUGCACGCUAUCCUUCUUCAUCCUUCCUGAACUUCUGCUCCAAUUUCCAACUUCUGUACGCCAUGGCGGUGGCUGUUAUUAUGCGAUAAAAAUGAACCUUUUCUACCUUUUUGGCUAAUAACUAACUGCACCUUCCACCGUAAUGAUAUCGAUCGCUUCAAGGUAAGUAAUAAUAGUAAUAAAUCUCAUGUUGUUCUGGUUUUUAUCUUUCAUACGCAAUAAAGUAAACUACCGUACUGUGAAAGUAAACUGCCAUCACAUACCAACGAACAAAAAAAA